AGUGCUCUGGCCCUUUUUGUGAGUAUUGUCCAUACAUAUGAGUAUAUGACAUGCUGUCGACAGUUCUUGCUAUGAAUGCUCCACUACCUCAUCUUCGGUUGAUGAUAUAACCUGACAUUUCACGAUUUCCUUUUACAAACCUGCUUAUAAGAUGCUGUGGAUCGUGAUUUUCUACCAUUUCACUGGUAAGAUGGUCUAGAAUCUUUAUCAUGUCGGAAGUGCAUUCGGUGUAACGAACCUGCUUUGGUAGGUUAUUAUAGUUAUCAUACUCAGCGAUAUGGAUGCGUAGGUAAAAGUGUUUUGUGUAGUUUCUUAAUAAGACUGAUGAGUAUAUGAUAGUAGAACACUAGAACUAACUGGAUUAUCAUAAUUUAUCUAAGUCAUCUUUUCUGUGAAGGCACGAUGGGACCUAAUACUAGUCUAGCGGCCAAACUCCUUGUAGGCGUUGGUGGCAUUGGUAAGACCACCCUUGCUCAGAAGGUCUUCAAUGACGAGGUCAAUGAUGGUGGGUUUAUCAAGAAGAUAUGGUUGAGCGUCAACCAAAACUUCAGUGAAGCUGAGUUGUUGAGAAGGGCCAUCACAGAAGCCAGAGGAGACUGCCAAUUAGCUGGAAAUGCAAAGCUCACGCUUCAGCGAACCUUGAAGGAUGUCCUGAUUGGCCACAAGACCUUAAUGGUGAUGGAUGAUGUGGUGGAGCCAUGGUGCAUGGGUGGAUGUGCUAAAAAGUAAAAAACAACCUUAGUCGAUGCAACUGCUCCAGGCAGCCGAGUCCUUGUCACUACCAGAGAUGAAAGAGUGGCUCGACAACUGAAAGCUGUCCAGCCGUACCACCAUGUUGACAAAUUGGAUGAUGAAGAUGCCUGGUCAUUGCUCAAGAAACAGGUCCGUAGUUAAACUCUAAGCAUUUUCACUAAGUGCUUAGCUCUGUAUUUCAGACUAUAGAUAAUUAUAAUAGAAUAUACCAAUGCAUGCCACCACACUCGAACAAGUGCAUGCUUAUUCAAGUAAAUUUGUCACAAUGUUUUCGUUAAUCCUAGAGAUUGUAUUUGGGGUUAUGAGGCGAGAAAUUUCCCUCACACCAGCAGGCCACGGGCCUAUUCAUUCCCACCUGUAUUUUCUGUUCUUUCCUAAAAUGUUCAAGUUCAUAUUAUCUUAUCACUAGUGAGUGCCUUCUGCGAUGCUUUUAAUAGUGUGUUCAACUACCUAGGUUGCAUCUGCAUUACUUUCAUUGUGCGAAUUUCGGUACGCUGCAUAGCUUAUUUGGCCUGGCUGGCUCGCUCAAACUUAGUCAUCCAACUAAUAAUGUAAUCUCACUAACAAAACUUAUUUGGCCUGGCUGGCUCGCUCAAACUUAGUCAUCCAAAUAACAGAGGGAGCCCGUAUGGGGCUGGUACCUUCACAGGCGGUUCCCAGCAGCAUUGGCGUUGCCCAUACCCCAGGCCUCCUGCACUCUGUUUUCAGUCCAAACUGAGCUUUUGUUUUCAGGGUGCGGUUCAGUGAUCGAUUCAUUCUUCCAUCCAAAUCAGAAACUGGUGCUGAUGAGGACUAUCUAAUUCUUUCUUGGGUUUUAGAAUGGUAAAAUGAACCUUUAAUGGCUACAGAUUGCUGGGCUUACCAUUUCAUACAUGAAUGAUUCUAUGAGCCAUGGUCUCCUCCUAGAAAAGAUUACAUGGGUGACCAUCUGCAAAUUGAACAGGGAAUAUGGCACCACAAGGGCUGGUCUAAAGGCGUUAGGUUAUGAGCUUGACAACGAUGAAUUUCAUGCAAAUCUUCAGGGUAGACUUAUGAGCCCUGACCCUGUUUUGAGGAUCGCUCCACUUUCCAUUCCACAGAGAAAAAUAAUAUUCACAAACUCGGACAAGGUUCAUGCGGAGGAGGUUCUGGGCAGGCUGGGUUUGGAGGACUGCUUUGAGGGUGUGAUAUGCUUUGAGACAUUGAAUCCACCAGCUGUGCCGAGCAAUGGCCUAAACAAGUCCCAGGAUUGUUUGUUCUCUGUUGAACCAUCUGCUGCAAACCCACCAUUGAAUCUAUGGAGGCUGCAAUUCGGAUCACAAUUAUAUCCCAAGAAAACGUUCCUUUUCGAUGACAGCACACAGAACAUUGCUUCAGGAAAGGCUGCAGGCUUCCACACUGUAAUUUUUGGCAGGUCUGUAGUCGUUCGAGGGGCUGAUCACGCACUGGAGAGCAUCCACAACAUCAAGGAAUCAUUGCCUGAGUUAUGGGAAGGCCAUGACUGGUCAGAAUCGGAUGCCGUUCUUGCUUCCGCCGCCGUUGAAGCAGCAGUUGUUUCUUGAUGUUGUGUGUCCCAAUGGAUUGGCUAGACAGUAUGCUAAAGGUUGAAUACAUGCAGGAGUAUGAAGAUAAGAUGUGCCCUAUCAUAACAUGUAAACACAGUUCCACUGCACUAUAUCAGUGAGAAGCAAGAGUUGGGAAGAACAUGUUGACUACAGGGAUUGCAGCUUUGUUGGGGGGCAUUUUCAAAAUGAGUGGCCUCAUGAACGGGACCUGCUCCGGCGGGGCACAGUACUUCUGGAACAUGUGGGCAUUGAUAUCUCAGCGGCAAAAAGAGGAUGGGCGACAUGAAUCCCAAGACUCCAACUGUAGGGGGGGUGUGGAGAAUAGGAGAAGGAUAGACUGACACAAGGCAGGCUAAGCGGUUUCGGUUCAUUUGUGUUGCUUUUGUGUUCUGAAACCUGCAAAGGUGUUGUUGUAGAAAGUCUUUUAUUAUUGGUCUGUUGUAGUCCUAUUGGUCUGUUUGUGGGUAGUUGUAGAUUUCGAGUUUGGAAAUAGUCACCACGCCAUUUCAAGUUGAGGUAGAGUUUUAAUGUUUUCGAAUAUCAUUGUACUAUCUUUUGUAUAUACCUGAAAUUUUACAUGAAUUAUGUGCGGUACUUUAACUUCACAAGCA